rnacentral:rRNA from 1 species
CCUACGGGUGGCAGCAGUGAGGAAUAUUGGUCAAUGGACGAGAGUCUGAACCAGCCAAGUAGCGUGAAGGAUGACUGCCCUAUGGGUUGUAAACUUCUUUUAUCAAGGAAUAAAACGAGGCACGUGUGCCUUUUUGCAUGUACCUUAUGAAUAAGGAUCGGCCGACUCCGUGCCCGCAGACGCGGUAAUACGGAGGAUCCGAGCGUUAUCCGGAUUUAUUGGGUUUAAAGGGAGCGUAGAUGGGUUGUUAAGUCAGUUGUGAAAGUUUGCGGCUCAAACGUAAACUUGCAGUUGAUACUGGCAGUCUUGAGUGCAGUUGAGGUAGGCGGAAUGCGUGGUGUAGCGGUGAAAUGCUUAGAUAUCACGAAGAACCCCGAUUGCGAAGGCAGCUUACUAAACUGUGACUGACGUUGAUGCUCGAAAGUGUGGGUAUCAAACAGGAUUAGAUACCCGUGUAGUC